AUCUUACUGCUACCUCCGAGUCUGACAAUCUAGUCUUCUAGGCUUUUCGCUUUUAGAAUCCUCUUUCUCUCUGAUCCUUCGUGCGUUCUUUAUCCUAUUCCGAUUCGAUUUAGCUUUCUUUUAGUUGCUAUAUCUUUAUUUUGAAGAAAGGUGGAUCUAUAGGGGAAAGGAUAAAUAUCUUCAUUCCGUACAUCUCCUCGUCAAUUUUGGCAUGAGCUCGCAGCCUAGAUUAUGGGGGAGAAUGAAUGGCUCAGUGACUCCAUAUUUCGCCUUGAAGGGAAAGCAAAGCUACGUCUCGCCAAAGUGGUUUUGCCCCGCUAGGAAAGAAUGGAACUUCAGAAACAUGUACUCCGUCGAAGGCAAAGAGGUUUCAGCAACCCUAGAGCUAGUUCAACUUGAAGACUGUCUUUUUCUCUAUACGGAAUUCCUAGGAGUCCACAAAAGAAGGCAGUACCAAAUAACCUAGAAUAAGGAAGUUUUAGACCCACUCAAGGGAACUAGCAAAGAAGCAAGAUGUCCAGUCACCUGGUCUUUAGGAUUCUUACGAUAGCAGGCGAGACUAAGCAGAAAUACAAAGUGUAGGUAAUUCUUUAUCCACUCUGCCGGAUCAAUCACAUUUGACACCUAAGGAAGGAGAAUUAGCGGCAUCUCCUUCGAGAAGAGCCCAUAUUCUUUCAGUAAUCUAAGGAAAAGCUAAAAAUUCAUUGGGAUAGAUGCACCGCCAAUUAAUUUCCGCCAAUUUCCGCGGUGAGUGCUCGUAGAAUAGUCUUUGAUUGAGAUUGAGUCUGCUUGCAGGUAUCUUCCGAUCCAUUUUAACUGAAAAUUUUUCAUCAAAGUCAAAGCAAAGAACGAUUUUUCUUUCCUUCGAGGCUCCGGGAUAAAGAUACAAUUUUGCGUAAAAAUUGUGAAAAGAAAUUCGAUUCAUGUUUGCAAAAACAACGUUCCCUUCUUUUUCUGAUUUUUUUAUAACGGAUUAAUUCAAUGAAUUAGAACGAAUCAACUGAUUGAUGG
rnacentral:lncRNA from 1 species